rnacentral:miRNA from 2 species
UGAAUACAUCUGCUGGUUUUUAU